rnacentral:rRNA from 1 species
UGCCAGACUCCUACGGGAGGCAGCAGUGGGGGAUAUUGCACAAUGGGGGAAACCCUGAUGCAGCGACGCCGCGUGGGUGAAGAAGCGCCUCGGCGCGUAAAGCCCUGUCAGCAGGGAAGAAAAUGACGGUACCUGAAGAAGAAGCCCCGGCUAACUACGUGCCAGCAGCCGCGGUAAUACGUAGGGGGCAAGCGUUAUCCGGAUUUACUGGGUGUAAAGGGAGCGUAGACGGCAGUGCAAGUCUGGAGUGAAAGGCGGGGGCCCAACCCCCGGACUGCUCUGGAAACUGUACGGCUGGAGUGCAGGAGAGGUAAGUGGAAUUCCUAGUGUAGCGGUGAAAUGCGUAGAUAUUAGGAGGAACACCGGUGGCGAAGGCGGCCUGCUGGACUGUAACUGACGUUGAGGCUCGAAAGCGUGGGGAGCAAACAGGAUUAGAUACCCCUGUACC